GACGAACGCUGGCGGCGUGCCUAAUACAUGCAAGUCGAGCGAGCUUGCCUAGAUGAAUUUGGUGCUUGCACCAGAUGAAACUAGAUACAAGCGAGCGGCGGACGGGUGAGUAACACGUGGGUAACCUGCCCAAGAGACUGGGAUAACACCCGGAAACAGAUGCUAAUACCGGAUAACAACACUAGACGCAUGUCUAGAGUUUAAAAGAUGGUUCUGCUAUCACUCUUGGAUGGACCUGCGGUGCAUUAGCUAGUUGGUAAGGUAACGGCUUACCAAGGCAAUGAUGCAUAGCCGAGUUGAGAGACUGAUCGGCCACAUUGGGACUGAGACACGGCCCAAACUCCUACGGGAGGCAGCAGUAGGGAAUCUUCCACAAUGGACGCAAGUCUGAUGGAGCAACGCCGCGUGAGUGAAGAAGGGUUUCGGCUCGUAAAGCUCUGUUGGUAGUGAAGAAAGAUAGAGGUAGUAACUGGCCUUUAUUUGACGGUAAUUACUUAGAAAGUCACGGCUAACUACGUGCCAGCAGCCGCGGUAAUACGUAGGUGGCAAGCGUUGUCCGGAUUUAUUGGGCGUAAAGCGAGUGCAGGCGGUUCAAUAAGUCUGAUGUGAAAGCCUUCGGCUCAACCGGAGAAUUGCAUCAGAAACUGUUGAACUUGAGUGCAGAAGAGGAGAGUGGAACUCCAUGUGUAGCGGUGGAAUGCGUAGAUAUAUGGAAGAACACCAGUGGCGAAGGCGGCUCUCUGGUCUGCAACUGACGCUGAGGCUCGAAAGCAUGGGUAGCGAACAGG
rnacentral:rRNA from 1 species